GAUGAACGCUGGCGGCGUGCCUAAUACAUGCAAGUCGAGCGAACGGACGAGAAGCUUGCUUCUCUGAUGUUAGCGGCGGACGGGUGAGUAACACGUGGAUAACCUACCUAUAAGACUGGGAUAACUUCGGGAAACCGGAGCUAAUACCGGAUAAUAUUUUGAACCUCAUGGUUCAAAAGUGAAAGACGGUCUUGCUGUCACUUAUAGAUGGAUCCGCGCUGCAUUAGCUAGUUGGUAAGGUAACGGCUUACCAAGGCAACGAUGCAUAGCCGACCUGAGAGGGUGAUCGGCCACACUGGAACUGGGACACGGUCCAGACUCCUACGGGAGGCAGCAGUAGGGAAUCUUCCGCAAUGGGCGAAAGCCUGACGGAGCAACGCCGCGUGAGUGAUGAAGGUCUUCGGAUCGUAAAACUCUGUUAUUAGGGAAGAACAUAUGUGUAAGUAACUGUGCACAUCUUGACGGUACCUAAUCAGAAAGCCACGGCUAACUACGUG
rnacentral:rRNA from 1 species